GGCGACGUGAAGCGGGUGGUCCAAAGGCCCAACGAUGAUGUGCUGGACCUGCAAAUGCUAGCACAACGCUCCUCGGCUUCCCUCCGUGUGGCGGCGGCGGCGGUGGCGCCGUGGCGGUGGUGGCGGCGAAGCACCGGAAGCCGGCGACUAGCGGAGACGGCGGGCGCGGACGAUCAAGCGGCGGCGGCGGCGUCGGCCGGAGAACCAUGGCGCAGGUCAAAGAUGUGCGGGUGAACACUUCUUACAAGUCAAAGAUGGUCCACCCACUCACCCACAAUUCAGGUACAUGUCCAAACCUAAAAUAAUGUGGCACUCAGCUUACAAUAUUGCUGCCAUUUGCUUGUAGACUAUGUUUUUCCUUUUUGGAGGCUUUGGCAACUUGUCUUCCUAAUUAAGUUUUUUAAGCAAUGUAAUGGAGUAUCAACUAUGCUGCUGCUGCUGCUGCUGCUGCUGCUACUAUUACAGACUGAUGGGGUAUCAAAAGCUGAGAAACUGUACAUGUGUA